CCUGGAUCAGCAGGAAGAAGAGAUGGAAGCAACGCCAUGGACCUUCACGUCCUUCAGAGUGUGGGUGGGCUUGGGCUUUGCAGUGAGAGCAAGUAUCACCCAGGAUGGAGAUGGGAGGUAAUGGGUGGCCCCGACAGGUGCCUCCUACUGCUGGCAGCAAGGAGAGAGUGAAGAGGCAGAAUUUCCUUGGUCUAGACUAGAGUCUGGGUCAUGGGCAUGGCAGUGCUUGAGCUUUUGACCAGAAGCAAGUGGACAUGGAUUUGAGCUUCGGGUAAGAAGGGAGACUUCUCUCCAGGGACCAUAGGGGCUGGCAGCUGAAGAAGGUGACUUGGCCCCUCUCUAGAGGGUGAACGCAGGAUCAAUUCAAGGCCAUGAAGUGGAUGCAGCUGGGAGAGCCUGCUUGGUGCUUUUAAACCUCAACAUGUCAACCGCAAAUACCUCAAACACUGCUCACACCGUGGUAAAAUCUAG
rnacentral:lncRNA from 1 species